ACAGGGGGGUCACGCGCAGGGUCGUAGGGGACCGCCUGGGGAUCCCCGGACGGCUGCGAGGAAUGAGCGGUUGGCUCGGGCUGGUUUCCUCCCUCCACCGCCUGCUUGUUUCGCCAUGCCCGGGCCGGACGGUGGGGCUGCAGCGGCGAAAGCGACUGAAGUCCGGGAGCAGUCGCAUGAGCUUCCCGGUCACCAGGAGGCCCCGGGAACAGACACCUCACCCUGACAUUGUGGCAGGAACUUCUGGAUUGCUUUCCAAAGUGGCUGCACUGUUUUCUAUCCCCACUGGGCAGGAAAACAUCUAAGAAAGGAGGCUCCCCCCUUCCCUUGCAGGGUUACCAGCAAUUAAAAAGAAGUACUAGAGAGGCAAAUAUCGGCAGUAUACAUCUAAGCGCUGGUCGGAAAAGAAGGAACUCAGCCCAAGAACUUGCCCAAUCUGAUACUGGAGGUGCCACUCAAGAACCACUCCCUCCAAGAUGUUUUCCUGGAUUUCCUCAGCCUAAAGUAAUCCCUCUUUUUCCUGGCUAUACCAUCUGGAACAGAUGACUUCCAAGGACACCGUAGCAAAGAAAAAGAGAACUGGAAGCCCAUGUGCCUUAAUCGCUUCAUCCUAGAGGAGGAGGAUAACCAGUGGAGCCUUUUCUGGAUUUCUCACUAGAAGUAAAGACCAAAUUUCCAGAAGGAACCUGAGAGAUAAAAAGUGGUUGGCUGCUCCUGACCUGACUCAUAGUGUUUAACUGAACCAUACCACUAGUGUAUACUAGUGUGUGUGUAUGUACAUGCAUACACACAUGCACACACACAUUCACACACAAUCCUAUGGUAUUUGGUGACUUUGGAUGCCCAGCUCUUGCAACAAUUUCCUGCUGUCAUUCUUUUCCCUUUGAAUCUCAGGGGUGAGCAAACUAAAGAAAUACUAUCAUCUUACUGCUUUUAGUAUAUUCCAUAGAAAAGGAGUGGCUGGAGUCAGUGUAGAUCAACCCAAGCAGUACAAAUCUGCCAGAAUUGCAGCUCAGCUUCCUUACCUCCAGCAUGUGUACCUUUCUGAAGGGUAGGCCCUUAAGCCAGACAUAAGUAAGUUAUCCACUCUGUGCAUAACUGUCUGACUUGGCUUAGAAGCAUGAAAGGGGCAGAAAUGUAAGAUGGGUAAAGAAGGGCUUCAUCUGAAAUAGGGCCAUGAUGAUUAGCUCUCUCUUUCCUUCCUUUGGCUUCAUUGCUGUAUUCCAUGUGGGUCUUGAUAUCUUGAAACUGGAUGAGAUACCCAAAUAGUCAGUCCCUGAAUAUAAAUCAUUUCCUUGUACAGAAUCACUGCCAAACUCAGUAUGGUUAAAAGAUUUUUAACACCCAGCUGCAGCAUUCACUCUGGUUAGAAUUGGCCAUUUAAAUUUAUUUCACAUAUGUAAGUAUCAUAUCCUUUAUAAUGCAUUCUUAAUUGUUGCUCAGUUCUUCCAGAUUGAAUUCCUUUAAAAAAUUCCUUAUGUAAUCUUUUAAUUCUAGUUGGAAAACAUCACUUGACAGUUGCUGUUUAUACAGGCAUGCCUCGUUUUAUUGUGCCUGGCUUUAUUGUACUUUGCAGAUACUGUGUUUUUCACAAAUGGAAGGUUUGUGGCAACCCUGCGUUAAGCAAGUCUGUUGGCACCAUUUUCUCGACAGCAUGUGCUAACUUUGUCUCUGUCUCACAUUUUGGUAAUUCUCUCAAUGUUUCAAACUUUUUCAUUAUGAUUACAUCUGUUAUGUGGAGCUGUGAUCAGUGAUCUUUGAUGUUAACAUUGUAAUUGUUUUGGGGUGCCACAACUGUGCCCAGAUAAGACAGUGAACUUAAUUGGUAAAUGUUUUAUGUGUUCAGACUGUUCCACUGACUAGCCCUUCUUCAAACUCUCUCACUCUCCUUGGGCCUCCCUAUUCCCUGAAAUACAACAAUAUUGAUAUUAAGCCAAUUAAUAACCCUACAAUGAUUUCCAAGUGUUUAAGUGAAAGGAAAGACAUGUAUGUUUCACCUUAAAUCAAAAGCUAGAAAUGGCCAGGCGUGGAGGCUCACGCCUGUAAUCCCAGCACUUUGGGAGGCCAAGGCGGGCGGAUCACAAGGUCAGGAGAUCGAGACCAUCCUGGCUAACACGGUGAAACCCUGUCUCUACUAAAAAAUACAAAAAAUUAGCCGGGCGUAGUGGCAGGCGCCUGUAGUCCCAGCUACAUGGGAGGCUGAGGCAGGAGAAUGGCGUGAACCUGGGAGGCGGAGCUUGCAGUGAGCCGAGAUCGCGCCACUGCAUUCCAGCCUGGGUGACAGAGCGAGACUCCAUCUCAAAAAAAAAAAAAAAAAAAAAAAAA
ensembl:lncRNA LINC01285 long intergenic non-protein coding RNA 1285